AAGACUAUAGACCUGCGGAGUACCUGCGGAAGGAUCAUUACCGAGUGCGGGCCCUCUGGGUCCAACCUCCCACCCGUGUUUAUUGUACCUUGUUGCUUCGGCGGGCCCGCCAUUCUGGCCGCCGGGGGCUUGCCCCCGGGCCCGCGCCCGCCGAAGACACCCUCGAACUCUGUCUGAAGAUUGUAGUCUGAGUGGAAUUAUAAAUUAUUAAAACUUUCAACAAUGGAUCUCUAGAUCGGA
rnacentral:misc_RNA from 1 species